AUCUCUUAUAACAAACCUAGCAAUUGAUUUAGAUUUAGUUUAGCAUCAAAAUUGAUCUUAAGAACUCCAAAGGGAGGGGGCAGUUGAAAAACCAAAGAACAAUAAGAACGUAGAUCAUUGUUGAAGACCACCUCAAUAUCUUGAUAGAAGUAGAAAGAUUUGGUGUUGAUCAAUCAAAAAAACAUAGGAAAAAAAAAACCUUCCUUACCAGCUGAAUGGGAGA
rnacentral:lncRNA from 1 species